UUGGGCGAAACAAAUGGAAUCGGGUUUUGUCUACGUCAACUUCACCAUCCACCUGCCGGGUGGCAGCGCAGCGGGCCGGGAAUGCGGGAGCGCCGUCUGGGGCUGAGUCCUGCGAGUCCGGCUCGGAACAUUCCGAAACGAAGACAGCAAGAUGUUACGCUCCUGCAGGUACACCUGUGCUUCAGCUUAUGGGUACUAUGGAGAUCAUCGCAAUCCUCCAUCUGGAAAUCACUGAAUAGGAGACAGUGGGACACAGGCUGGAUUUAUGAGCCUAUGAAAGCAAAGAAUAGGAAGCAUCUUCUUCUGAAGGCAGCUGCACUGGUGAACUUAUUGAAUAGCUGACUGAGUACUGAAUGAUAAUCACACAAAGAGAAGAGCAAGAGAAACAGAACGAGACAAAAUCACCUUCAU